UAACAAGGUUUCCGUAGGUGAACCUGCGGAAGGAUCAUUACCGAGUGAGGGCCCUCUGGGUCCAACCUCCCACCCGUGUUUUCCGAACCCUGUUGCUUCGGCGGGCCCGCCUCACGGCCGCCGGGGGGCUUCCGCCCCCGGGCCCGCGCCCGCCGAAGACACCUGUGAACGCUGUCUGAAGUUGCAGUCUGAGAAACUAGCUAAAUUAGUUAAAACUUUCAACAACGGAUCUCUUGGUUCCGGCAUCGAUGAAGAACGCAGCGAAAUGCGAUAACUAAUGUGAAUUGCAGAAUUCAGUGAAUCAUCGAGUCUUUGAACGCACAUUGCGCCCUCUGGUAUUCCGGAGGGCAUGCCUGUCCGAGCGUCAUUGCUGCCCUCAAGCACGGCUUGUGUGUUGGGCCCCCGCCCCCCCCCGCGCUGGGGGGGCGGGCCCGAAAGGCAGCGGCGGCACCGCGUCCGGUCCUCGAGCGUAUGGGGCUUCGUCACCCGCUCUUGUAGGCCCGGCCGGCGCCAGCCGACCCCCCUCAAUCUAUUUUUUCAGGUUGACCUCGGAUCAGGUAGGGAUACCCGCUGAACUUAAGCAUAUCAAUAA
rnacentral:misc_RNA from 1 species